GAUUGGAGAUAGGAGGAUCAGAAGUUCAAUAUUGUCCUGGGGCAACGAAGAGAAUCUAGUUAUAGGAGGCCUUGUCAAGAAAAAAAGAAAAGAAAAUUCCACAAUGAUUUGCAAAAUAUUUAAUGUUAGGAAGAACUUGCAUUGUCACAGAAGUGUAGUAAUGCAGUUGAACCUUUCUCACAGCUUUGGUUGCCAUAGCUUUAGUUGCCUCAUAGAGAUAGGUGUAUUUCUUUCUUUUAAUGGAUUAGCAAUUUGGAGAGGAGGGUGUUGGCCAGUUCAUCUCCUCUGCAUUUUCGACCGUAAUCUGAAGUGAGAGCUACUAGAUGUAAAGACUGAAACAUGCCUUUGCUCACUCACAAUUCUCAGCUUUUCUCUACAGAACUUCCUUGUUAUCAUCACACCAAUAGAGGGCAACUAGUAAAUCAAGUGUCCCGAAAAUGAGGCAGGAAAGUACUCUUACUUUAAAAAAAAGGGGGGGAGGGUUGGGGAUUUAGCUCAGUGGUAGAGCGCUUGCCUAGCAAGCGCAAGGCCCUGGGUUCGGUCCUCAGCUCCAGGAAAAAAAAAA
rnacentral:lncRNA from 1 species